GCAGCCCAGGCUCACCCCACGGACUGUCCCUGAGCAAGGCAUCCCCCUGUCCCUUGCACACUGGCACGCCCUGGUGCUAGAGGGGAGAUUCUUGUCUUCUUUGGAGCAUGGAGUAGCUGGAGGCACAAACCAACCACUUGUGUGGGGAAGAGUGGGGGAUGAUCUUUCACACAGGCCCUUCAGAUGGGAUGUCCUCUUGCUGUGGAAACAUGUCACAAAUCACUUGUAGCUGGAUCCCAGUGAUGCAAUCUGAGAUGAGAGGCUCUUUAAGAUACAGAGACUGAUAUCAAAACUCACUGCUUUUAGGGAGUCAGUGCAGGUCCAGCUGCUGUGUGGGACAGAAGAGUUAGCUAAUGGUGUUGGAAAGGCAGUGUACUGAGUUCUUGCAGCCUCCUUGGGCAAAAGAAUUUUGCAAAAAGAGAAAUUUGAAGUUUUUAUAUCCUCUCUGGCAUCCUCUUGUUUCUUUUUUUAUAAGGUUUGCUGGAGAGCACAGAAUCAUAUCACAAAAUCCUCUGGGUAACAAAGCCUUGCAGCUCCAUCUGAAGCAGGAAAAAUGAGGAGGUUACAGGAGGACACAGCAGAGCCAAAGCAGGUCACUGGAUGAGUCAUUCACACUCAGAUCUGCGAUAUGGAGGAGAACAGAAAACGUGUGUGAUAUCCGCCAGCUGGAUUCCAUCUGUCUUUUCUCUGUGGAGAUGGAGUUUCAAAGGCUACAUCCUAUCUACUGUCACACCCUCUCCCGACAUGAGAAGCUAAGUGUAAAGUUUGGCCAAAGUGUUGGAAAAACAGUAUCUCUUUUGUGCAUCACAACUAUUUCCCUACCUACACAAAAGUAGCAUUCUUCCUGUUCUGGCAUGCAGGAUGUAUUGUUGCACUGUAUCACAACUUUUUAUUUAAUAAGAGGAGCCUGGCCAAAAUGAUUUCAGAGCAAGCUGGUUGGGUUUUUUGUUAGGGUUUGAUUUUCUUUUUCAGUUGGACUCUGUGCACCUAUGUGUGUGUUGGUUUGUGUACAGAGCAGGGUCAGGGGGACUGUGACUGACAAGUACAAGUGCUGUCUGAUUACAGCACAGGAUGUGGUCUCAUCACAUUUCUGGGAGGGGAAAGA